CUGCCCGAUGGAGGGGGAUAACUACUGGAAACGGUAGCUAAUACCGCAUAACGUCGCAAGACCAAAGAGGGGGACCUUCGGGCCUCUUGCCAUCGGAUGUGCCCAGAUGGGAUUAUCUAGUAGGUGGGGUAACGGCUCACCUAGGCGACGAUCCCUAUCUGGUCUGAGAGGAUGACCACCCACACUGGAACUGACACACGGUCCACACUCCUACGGGAGGCACUGUGGGGAAUAUUGCACAGUGGGCGCAAG
rnacentral:rRNA from 1 species